GACGAACGCUGGCGGCGUGCUUAACACAUGCAAGUCGAACGGUAAGGCCCUUCGGGGUACACGAGUGGCGAACGGGUGAGUAACACGUGGGUGAUCUGCCCUGCACUUCGGGAUAAGCCUGGGAAACUGGGUCUAAUACCGGAUAGGACCUCUGCCUGCAUGGGUGGUGGUGGAAAGCUUUUGCGGUGUGGGAUGGGCCCGCGGCCUAUCAGCUUGUUGGUGGGGUGACGCCCUACCAAGGCGACGACGGGAAGCCGGGCUGGGAGGGUGCCCGGGGACACGGGGAUUGGGAUAGGGCCCGGAUGCGUCAGGGGGUACGGAGUGGUGUAUAUUGCACACUGGCUGAGAGACUGGCGCAGAGACGACGCGUGAGGGAUGCAGGCCUUCGGGUUGUGAACCUCUUCCGGCACAGACGAAGCGCAAGUGACGUUAGGUGCAGAAGAAGGACCGGCCAACUACGUGCAAGCAGCCGCCGUAA
rnacentral:rRNA from 1 species